rnacentral:lncRNA from 1 species
GUGUUUUGUAUCCUUACCAUAAAGUGAUUGAUGAUUAGAAGCUGAUAAGAAUUGAUAACACAAGAAGAUAAUGCAUUUUGAAGGGGUUUUGAAAACAGCAACAGAAGAAGAGCUGCCAAGGACAUGAGUAAAAAUUCAGCAGACCAGCUAUGAAGGGGUUGUUGGAAGAGAAUGCCGUAUUUGUCCUCUGACUCUGCUCUAGUCAUCUCUCCUUCCUCAGUGCACAGAUAUAAUUCACUAUUUUGAUUCUAAUCACCAAACCCUUCUUGCUGCCUUGGACAAAAUAUUCAGUGACCUUCUUGAUGAAUUACUAUCUCCCAAACUUUUCUGAUUUUAAGAGCUACUUAUUAUAAAUAAAAAUAUCCAUGCUUUCAGUGGUGUGCACCUGUACUCCCAGCUACUAAGGAGGCUGAAGCAGGAGAAUCGCUUGAACCCAAGAGGCAGAAGCUGCAGUGAGCCGAAAUCAUGCCACUGCACUCUAGCCUGGGUGACAAAGUGAGACUCCAUCUCAAAAAAAAUAUAUAUAUAUAUUUACAUAUAGAUUUAUAUGUAUAAAUAUAUGUAAAUAUAAAUAUUUUAAAUAUAUAUUAUAUAUAUUUAUAGAUGUAAUAUUAUAUACACACACACAAAUAUCUCUCUCUCUCUCUCUCUCUCUCUCUCUCUCUCUCUCUCUCUCUCCAUGCUUUACUUCUGAAUAUUAUAAUUCAGUGGAUUUCAGGUCAGCCCUAAGAAUCUAAAUUUUUCCAAGCACCCUCAUAUGAUGGAGUUCAAAUGAGAAGAAAAAACCCAAGUUAAUGAGUAAGAAUCCAUUUCCACUGUUUAACUCAGUACUUUCCAAACCUGGACAUUGGAAUCACCUGAGAAACUUUAAAAGCCAACAGAUGUUUUGGACCUGAUUAAAACAAAUCUCAAAGCUACAGAAAAGCUGCAAGAAGAAUACAGAUGGAGUCACCAGGCUGGAGUGCAAUGGCACAAUCUCAGCUCACUGCAACCUCCGACCCCCAGGUUCAAACAAUUCUCCUGCCUCAACCUCUGGAGCAGCUGGGAUUACAGGAGCCCGCCACCAUGCCAGGCUUUUUUUUUUCCCUUGUAUUUUUAGUAGAGACAGGGUUUCACCAUGGUGGCCCAGCUGGUCUCGAACUCCUGACCUCAGGUGAUCAGCCCGCCUCGGACUCCCAAAGUGCUGUGAUUACAGGCAUGAGCCACCACGCCCAGCUACAUGCCAUUUUUAGAACGACCCUUAAUUUGAGGUUGGAGCUGGUGUAA